rnacentral:rRNA from 1 species
CAGCAGCCGCCGCGGUAAUACAGAGGGUGCAAGCGUUGUUCGGAAUUAUUGGGCGUAAAGGGUGCGUAGGCGGCCCCGCAAGUCUUGUGUGAAAUCCUCAAGCUCAACUUGAGGCCUGCACGAGAAACUGCUGGGCUGGAGUAUGGGAGAGGUGAGUGGAAUUCCUGGUGUAGCGGUGAAAUGCGUAGAUAUCAGGAGGAACACCUGUGGCGAAAGCGGCUCACUGGACCAUAACUGACGCUGAGGCACGAAAGCUAGGGGAGCAAACAGGAUUAGAUACCCCCGUAGUCCCUGUCUCUUAUAA